CAAAGGCUUGGUCCUGACUUUAUUAUCAGCUUUAGCUAAACUUACACAUGCAAGUAUCCGCGCCCCUGUGCGAAUGCCCCAUAGUUUCCCGCCCGGAAACAAGGAGCUGGCAUCAGACUCACGCGCCGUAGUCCAUAACGCCUUGCUCAGCCACCCCCCCACGGGAAUUCAGCAGUGAUAAACAUUAAGCCAUAAGUGAAAGCUUGACUUAGUCAAAGCUAAAAGGGCCGGUAAAACUCGUGCCAGCCACCGCGGUUAUACGAGAGACCCGAGCUGAUAAUUGUCGGCGUAAAGGGUGGUUAAGAACAAUGAAAACUAAAGCCGAACCUUCUUUGAGCUGUUAUAAGCAUCAAAGAGAGAGAAGCCCUACCACGAAAGUAGCUUUAUUAUAUUUGACCCCACGAAAGCCAGGGUACAAACUGGGAUUAGAUACCCCACUAUG
rnacentral:rRNA from 1 species